UUGUGUAUGUGGAGAGGGAGGUGUGGAUGACGGCCUGCUGAAAAGCUCAGGGGAUCCUGGGGAAUGUGGAAACUCCCAAUUGACUCUGAGUGUUGAACACAAGAUGAGUCAGAUUUUUCUUGAGGAAACAGGUGAAAAACCCGGAAGCUGAGAGCAGGUGUCACGAAGAAAAAAAGCAUUGUAGAACCCUGGGUACAUGGGAUAAAGUUGUUGUAAAUGUUUGUAUGAAAUGGUCAUGCGCUUGCGAGAAAAAGAGAAAAAGGAUGGUUGGGCAUAAGAUGUGGUUGGAAUGGAAUGGAAUGGAAUGGAAUGGAGUCAGUUGUCUGGCUCCCGUGUGUGUAGCAUUUUCCCGGGAAGUGAGAAUGAUUUUGUUUAAACAGAUGUGUAUGAAUUGAGUACUCAUGUGUGAAUGUGUGAAGGUUUCUUGAAGUGUCUGUAUAAAGGUUUUCUGUGGAAAUGUUAUAAGAGAAUUGUUCCCCGGUGCUGUUUAAAACAUCUCUGCUUGCUGCCUUUGUUUUUCACAAGACUUAAAGAACCUAAUCUGUUCCUUUAGCAAUCUUUGAAGUUAGUGUGAAGGGAUUUGCUCUGUUUGUUUAAGCAAGUGAUUAAGAGAGCUGAGGAACAGGGAGUAUAGAGAUGGUCCUCUUCCCUAGGCUAAAGUAGACAGAAGGUUUGAGCUACGUAGACAGUGAAAGAGAAUGGGUGAGAAAUGUUUUGGGCAAAGUCGUGGAUUGUUUUAGGAUGAAGAAAAGAGAAUACAUUCCUUUUUGCUCUGCUCCAGUCCUAGUUUCAGUUUCAUCCUUUCAGUAAAGGGGCGAAGCUGCUGCCUGUUUUGCCGUCUGCAGUUAAAGCAAAGAAACACAGAUGCCCUCUCAACCAUGGGACCCUGAUGCUUUGUUUUCCUCAGAAGGACUGUUUUUAAAGGAUCUGAUGAAUUCCCACCCCGACAUGCCAGUGGGACUUGGAGAUCUUUCCAGGAGCAGCUAACCAAAGGCUGUUAUUGCCUCUGCCCAUGCCAGUGGGAGAAAAGGCAUUUCUAAAAGUCACACAGGGCAAGGU